rnacentral:snRNA from 1 species
AUGCUCUGGUUUCUCUUCAUCAUUCGAGCUAAUCUUUCGCCUUUUACUAAAGAUUAUCGUGGAGAGGAACAUCAUAAUGGGCGUAAAUUUAAUUUUUGGAAAUCCCACCGAUUGGUGGGGC